rnacentral:snRNA from 1 species
AUACUUACCUUACUGGGGAGGCACCGUGGUCAAGCGGGCGGUCCUCCCCGAGAGCCACUGUCUGCCCAUUGCACCAACCGGCGCGGACAGGCGGCGAUCGGCGAAUUGCCUUAGUGGUGAUUCGACAGUAUAAUUUCUGUUAGAUGGGGAUGGUGUGCGUUCGCGCCGCCGUCCCUUU